rnacentral:rRNA from 1 species
UACGUAGGGUGCGAGCGUUGUCCGGAAUUAUUGGGCGUAAAGAGCUCGUAGGCGGUUUGUCACGUCUGCUGUGAAAUCCCGAGGCUCAACCUCGGGCCUGCAGUGGGUACGGGCAGACUGGAGUGCGGUAGGGGAGAAUGGAAUUCCUGGUGUAGCGGUGGAAUGCGCAGAUAUCUGGAAGAACACCGGUGGCGAAGGCGGUCAACUGGCCCUCAACUGACGCUGAGGCACGAAAGCGUGGGGAUCAAACAGG